rnacentral:rRNA from 1 species
UUUAGGGGUAAAGCACUGUUACGUAUGCGGGCUGGUAAUUCGGUACCAAAUCGUUGCAAACUAAGAAUACUAAAUGUACAGUUCACCAGUAAGACUGUGGGGGAUAAGCUCCAUUGUCAAGAGGGAAACAGCCCAGAGCACCAGUUAAGGCCCCCAAAUAAUUGCUAAGUGGUAAAGGAGGUGGGAUUGCAGAAACAAUCAGGA